GGCUUCAUAACUAAGUUGGUAGAGCAUCGCAUCGGCGACACGGAGGUCAUGGGUUCGAUUCCCGUUGAAGCCC